rnacentral:rRNA from 1 species
CCUACGGGAGACAGCAGUAGGGAAUUUUCGGCAAUGGGGGGAACCCUGACCGAGCCACGCCGCGUGAACGAAGAAGUUAUUCGUAAUGUAAAGUUCUUUUAACCGGGAAGAAAGAGAAAUUUGACGGUACCUGACGAAUAAGCCCCGGCUAAAUACGUGCCAGCAGCCGCGGUAAUACGUAGGGAGCGAGCGUUAGCCGGAAUGAUUGGUCGUAAAGGGUGCGUAGAGGGCAUAGUAAGUGUUUUGUAAAAAGGCUGGGCUCAACCCAGUAGGGCAAAAGAUACUGCAAAGCUAGAGUGUGACAGAGGCAAGUGGAACGACAGGUGUAGCGGUAAAAAGCGUAAAUAUA